rnacentral:lncRNA from 1 species
CCUGAAUUCCUUGAUUUGAACAAGCUACAUGGUUAGUUUCAUAACCUGGCUGCGUGUUGGAGACCAAGAUGGGUAUAUUUCUAUCUAUAUACUCUGCUUGAUCUAGGCCAGGCUGUGUGAGCUGGUUGUGGUUGCUGAUCUGGUUGCAGUGGCUGACCUCACAAACUGGUAAGACUUACUUUAAAGUGACUUUGAGUUUGCAUGUGGCAGAAGAGGAGAAUCAAGGAUCACAGCAGUAUUUAUUCAGUUGUGCAAAUUGCAAUAUAACAUCAGCAGGCCUUUUUAUUUACUAUACAGAUAGUUUGAAUUCUAUGUAAAACCAUAUACAAACAGUUAACGCAUGGAAGUUUUGAAGUUAAAGAUAUCAUAUUUAUCCAGCCUUUCUCCACACACCCCUCCUAAAUCCCCUAAAUACAAGCUCUUAUCCCCAACAUUUAUAUCUUACUCCCACCUUCUCUUCCUUUCCAUCCUACUACUCCUAGCAGUUGGUGAUAUCUCUCCAAACCCUGGUCCCUCCACUACUCAGCCACCUGGUACAAACACCAGAAACCACAACAACCUAAUACCCAUUCCAUGUAAUUCUCACUAUAAUUCCUCUUUUAAAGCUGCACUCUGGAAUGCACGCUCUGUGUGCAGCACCUUUAAAUCUACUUCCAUCCAUGACCUAUUUAUCUCACACUCCCUAAAGUGUGUUAUGCAUUAAAAAUAUGUAGAACAAUAUAAGGAAAAGGAGACGUCAGGUAUUUACCAUGUCCAAAAUGUGUCUGCUCUUUUUAACCCAUAAUCCUAUAUUUGCUGAAUUGCUACUGUUGUUACAAACUGUAUCAUUGUAAUCCCCUAGUAAGUUUUACGACAUAGGUUGGUAAAAUGCAUCACAUGGAUACAAUGAUAUCACACACCGGUGGAUUCAGCAUUCUAUAGAUGGAGCCAAAUGUGCGAAUUAGAUUGAAUAUCUUUUUUUUUUUUAAAUGCUACCUAUACCAGGGGUAGUCAACCUUUUAAUACCUACUGCCCACUUUUGUAUCUUUGUUGAUGGUAAAAUGUUCUACCGCCCACCAGUGCCGUGAUAACUAAUUUUAUAGCGCAAGUGCAUUUUGUUUUGUUUUUUAUGCAAAUUUAUUAAAUGUAUCUAAAUGUAUCUAUUUUUCUCCUUUUUUCUAUUUUCUAUCAUACUUUUUUUUCUAUGUCUGUGUGUAAGGUGCUGUUUGUGUUUGUGUGUGAAGGGUGCAGUGUGUGUGUGAGUAGUGCUGUGUUUGUGUGUGUGUGUGUGUGUGUGUGAGGGGGUAGUAUGUGUGAAGGUUGCUGUGUGUGUGAGGGGGGGGCAGUGUGCGCAUGUGUGAGGGGGCAGUUUGAGUGUGGGGUGGAGUGCAUGAAGGGUGCUGUGUGUGUGGAGGGCAGUGUGUGUGUGAUGGGUGCAGUGUGGGGUAGUGUUUGUAUGUGAGGGGUACAGUAUGUGUGUAAAUGGUUCAGUGUGAGUGUGUGUGUCUGAGGUGCAGUGUGUGUGAGGGAUGCUGUAUGUGUGUUUGUGAGGGGUGCAGUAAAUACAUGGGUGGCAGUGCGUGUGUUUGUGAGGGUGGCAGUGUGUUCCAGUGGUGAUGUGUGUGUGAGUGGUGUGUGUGUGUGGGGGGGGGGCAGAAGGGGGGAAGUCUGUGUGUGUGAGGAGACGGUGUGUGUGUGUGAGGGGGAAAGUGUGUGAGGGGUGCAGUGUGUGUGAUGGGGCACGGUGUGUGAGGGGUGCAAUGUGUGUGUGUGUGUGAAGGUGGCAGUGUGUGUGUGUGAGGGGUUCAGUGUGUCUGUGAGGGGGCAGUCUCUCUGUGUGUGUGUGUGAGGGGUGUAGUGUGUGUUUGUGUGUGUGAAGGGUGCAUAGAGUCUGUGCUGUGUGUAGGUGGGUGAGAUUUGAAAAUCUAUCUUAAUGUCUCCCCCUCCCUUCUUCUUACUUUACCAGAGAGGGGGCACAUAAUGAUGCAAGCCCUGUUGGUCCAGUGGUGGCAUGUUCACUUUAGUCUGCAGCUCCUCUGGCUACAGGCUGACUCUCUUGUCCUCUUGCGAGCACAGCACUGUAUUGGAGCAUUGCCAUGGUAACGAGCGGCAACACUGAGACCUGCCUUCUCACAGGAGAAACACAGAGUCUUCUAGGCCCUUCCCUCCCUCUGCUGGAACGAAGUGCCAGCGGCCCGGUGAAGGAGAUACUUGAUCUCCUCACCAGCCCGAGAGGGCUUAUAGCAAGGCUGGCUCUGCCUUGGCCCAUGGCCAUCGAGACACACCCACCACCACCCACCUGAAAUACCAAACCACCCACUAGUGGGCGGUAGGGACCAGGUUGACUACCCCUGACCUAGACUGUUGCUAUAAUAGGAUGUAGGACUGGAGGCAAGUAUUUGUAGACCAAAGGUAAUAAAUGGUUUCUACACGGGUCAAAUGCCAAAAGAGUUUGCAACCAAAUGCAUAAUAGUAUUUUGCCAGAAACAGAGAAAGAGAAAACAGAGACAGCACUGAAAUCCACCAGAGACGCUUCUGCAGCACAGGCCGAGUAAACUUCAGUCAUGUGACAUGGAAGCUUCACAGAAAAGCAUGCAUGCGUAUUAGGUCCCCAAUGCUCCUCUAUCAGGAGGGGCCUCCAAUGUGAGGAGAGGUCACCAGCUCUGAGGGGUCCUCAGCGAAGGAAUAAGGUAAGUUAAACUUUUUUUUAUAUAUAUAUUUUGCACGGGGGGAGUUAUUUAGCGGUAGGGAGAGAGUCACUACAGCAUUAGGAUAACAGGUUUGUAUCACUAACGGUAUAGUGUUGUUACAUCCAAGAAUCCAGAAUAUGCAUGAAGAUAUAAUUACAAUGCAUAUUCUGGAUUCUUGUAUGUAAGUACCUACAUUCUCAAUCUAUGUCAUUUUUGUUACUCUCCUACUUAUAGUACCAUCUUUAAUUUUUUUUUCUCUUUCUUAGACUUUGGCUGAUCCUUACAGAGAAUAAUUACAACCUGUCAGGAUCGACACAGGGA